AAUGUGCAGUUCCAUGCAGUGCUGGCGAUCUGACAUAAUCACCAUACUCAUCUUCAGAGACUUAGAAUAAGAGACUUGCUCUGGUAUUUUGCAGAAGGAAUGUUUAUGAAAUUCUAAAACUAAAAGAAUGUUGCAUUGUAAAACAACUGCGAUGAACAGCAUCACAUCCAGGGAUGGAUCCUGCAAUUUCAUGUUCUUCAGAUAAGCUCCGACUCCCACAAUCCUAUAAUGGAUAAAGAAGAUUCAGAAAAUGGACUGAUGAUGUCAUGCUAUAUGUGAUGAAGCUGACCUCCAGAUUAUUUGUAUUUGGCUCAUUUAGCUGAUGGCAUGGCGUUUUGUGUCACUA